rnacentral:miRNA from 1 species
AGAGGAUUCUGCUGCCGGUCCCACU